UACUAUCUGCCAAGGUCCUGGCUGAUCUCAGCAGCAGCAGCAAAAGCAUGCUUCACUCUUGGAUAGGUUGAAGAAUGGAACUUCUUACAGAUAACUUCUGCAGAUAUCCAACAUGCCCAAUGCAGCACUGACAUUUAGAACCAAUUCUGCUCAUCUCCAUCGUUGUGUGACUCGAUGGCUGGUACUUCCAUUAAAAUCUCACUCAAGCCUCCCUCCCACAAGGGCUGAGGAACUGCGUUUGGUCACCAUGAUCACUGAGAACCUACCAGCUGACCUGAAAUGUCCAAAGGCUUGCUGCCUGCCUGGGGCUUGCUGCCUUACUGUUUUCUCCAGCACUGGGCCACUCUAGCUUUCUUUUCUGGAAUGCCACCACUUCACACCAACAUCCUGCCUCUAUUUUCUCAUCCCAGAAACUGCUCCAGAUUUAUAACCACCCUCCAUCACAGCUUGGAAUGAACAGCAAACACGAGGUGCAGAUGGCUCCUGCUUAUGGGUAGAAGCUCUGCAAGUGCUGGAGAGUCUCUUUCUUGGGCAGGCUUUUCUGUAAAUGAUGACAAAUGUAGCACCCAAGAGUUCAACAAGAGAAUUUCUCCAUAACUGCUGAUGAUGAGGUGCUGUCAUCUCAGAUGUCAUCUCAGAUGCAGCCUGUUGGGUUAGACUGGUGUCUAGAGGAGCACCUUGAGCUGCUGGGAGACAGAAGCUGAAGGUAGGUGCCGCUCUUUGGAGGACUGCAGAUCUUACCUUUGGG